AUUGAACGCUGGCGGCAGGCCUAACACAUGCAAGUCGAACGAGUGGCGGACGGGUGCGUAAUGUCUGGGACACUGCCUGAUGGAGGGGGAUAACUACUGGAAACGGUAGCUAAUACCGCAUACCAUCGGAUGUGCCCAGAUGGGAUUAGCUAGUCGGUGGGGUAAAGGCUCACCUAGGCGACGAUCCCUAGCUGGUCUGAGAGGAUGACCAGCCACACUGGAACUGAGACACGGUCCAGACUCCUACGGGAGGCAGCAGUGGGGAAUAUUGCACAAUGGGCGCAAGCCUGAGGCAGCGAUGCCGCGUGUAUGAAGAAGGCCUUCGGGUUGUAAAGGACGUUCAGCGGGGAGGCGUUACCCGCAGAAGAAGCACUGGCUAACUCCGUGCCAGCAGGCGCGGUAAUUC
rnacentral:rRNA from 1 species